AUUUUUGGAGUUGGGAGCAUCAGCAUUGUUUCUAUGCUUGCAUUUAAAUUGCAUAUUGAUAAGCCAUCGUUGCCAGGCAACCCGAGGUGGCGGGUCAUUGUUGUCAGGUAAAUCUCUGAUUUAGGAUCAGACGGUGUGCGGAGCUCGGAUUGUUUUUGCGCUGAUGUAAAUAUGUUUUAAUUUUUUGGGGUUUGUAAUAUGUUUCUUAACUAGCAUUACUUUUUGCUAAUCUCGUCAAUAACUGAUAAUUUUCUAACGUGAAACUACAAAAUCACU